CAGCAGCCGCGGUAAAACGGAGGGCGCGAGCGUUACCCGGAUUUACUGGGCGUAAAGGGCGUGUAGGCGGCCUGGGGCGUCCCAUGUGAAAGGCCACGGCUCAACCGUGGAGGAGCGUGGGAUACGCUCAGGCUAGAGGGUGGGAGAGGGUGGUGGAAUUCCCGGAGUAGCGGUGAAAUGCGCAGAUACCGGGAGGAACGCCGAUGGCGAAGGCAGCCACCUGGUCCACUUCUGACGCUGAGGCGCGAAAGCGUGGGGAGCAAACCGGAUUAGAUACCCCCGUAGUCCCUGUCUCUUAUAC
rnacentral:rRNA from 1 species